AGUGAACGCUGGCGGUAGGCCUAACACAUGCAAGUCGAACGGCAGCACAGUAAGAGCUUGCUCUUACGGGUGGCGAGUGGCGGACGGGUGAGGAAUACAUCGGAAUCUACUUUUUCGUGGGGGAUAACGUAGGGAAACUUACGCUAAUACCGCAUACGACCUACGGGUGAAAGCAGGGGAUCUUCGGACCUUGCGCGAUUGAAUGAGCCGAUGUCGGAUUAGCUAGUUGGCGGGGUAAAGGCCCACCAAGGCGACGAUCCGUAGCUGGUCUGAGAGGAUGAGCAGCCACACUGGAACUGAGACACGGUCCAGACUACUACGGGAGGCAGCAGUGGGGAAUAUUGGACAAUGGGAGCAAGCCUGAUCCAGCCAUACCGCGUGGGGGAAGAAGGCCUUCGGGUUGUAAAGCCCUUUUGUUGGGAAAGAAAAGCAGCAGGUUAAUACCCCGCUGUUCUGACGGUACCCAAAGAAUAAGCACCGGCUAACUUCGUG
rnacentral:rRNA from 1 species